GGUCAAUGCUAGCGCUCACACCAAUGGUGGGUUUAUUCUAGCACUGUGCUCACUCUACGAGUCACCUUACUACAGGCUAAAGUGCUGACUAUGAUUCCACGUCAAUGCAAGGACCGCGCAGAUGCUUCGACGUAGUCGUAAACCUUUUUUGGUUCUGCAUCAGGUUUUUGUGAGCCGACCAAUCACUGCCCUUGCUGCUGUGUCGCCUCGACAGAAAGUAAUUCUUUUUGGGAGGUGCACGUCACACCCUUGCGGUGGACGCAAGGAGGGUCCGCAAGGAUAUAAUUGGUCCGUAAACCCCUUUGCGUUGGGGCGACGUGGAACCAUAAUCAGCCCUUUAGUCUAGCUGUGAUGAUGAUGCUAAUGAUGGGUUUAUGCAAGCUUUUGACGAGUGCUAGGUCUGGGGGGGAAAGAAGACGCCUGCCAGUUCCCUCCUUAGAUCUCCCCUGGCUGGCUGGAUGCCAAUGUUUCCUUGGGCAUGACAUCUAGCCCAAGCUGCUCCCGAAGAGGUGUUUCCUGUCAUGCUCGACACCACAUGCUCGACACCACUGCCGUCAAUAUGUGAAUGUGAACCGCCAGGAGUGGCAGUUCCUAAUGAACGCCUAAAAUUCCCCCUAUUAAUUUACGUGAGGUGAAAAAAUAAGGCAUCGUAUCAAUCCGGUCUAUUUACCGUUUAUGAGCUCUGGUCUGAUUUUGUGUGCUUUCAAAACUUGUGAAAUGUUGUUAUGAUUGGUCGGUAAGGGAGGUCUCAUAAAUCUGUUUCCAUCCCACUGGGCGCGGGGUGUUGCAUGCUGGGAGAUCAGUGCAACGUGGAGAGGGUGGACUUGGACGGCCUGAGGAGACAGACAUACCUGUGGAGGAGAAGGAGAAGGGGGCACCUCCCACCUGCCUGUCCUGCCCAGGAAAGGUGGCUGUCCUUAGGACAACGGUUCGCAUCAGGGCUGCGUACCAUUGCAGAGAAAGCCCCAUCUUCCCGCUCCGAGAUCCCUCUUUCCAUAGUGUUUAACUGGAGACCCAGUCCAAAGAGAGAGGAGGUUGAACUCUCCAUCUUCACCCCCUCCCCCGUGUGGCAUCUUGAGGGCAACGCUGUCAAGACAACCAGGAGUGGGGAGACGCAUAACAAGACAAGUGGUGAAGUUUGCUGAGAUGCACCAGGUUCACUACGACUCUUAGUGAUCCCAUCAGAGUCACACUCCCUCCCCCGCUACCAUGCAGUCUCGCCUCAGACAAGACCCUUACCCCACAGUCUUCUUCUAGAUGAAUCAGUGCUCAUGCUUGGUCUGGCAACAACUGGCAAAUGAAAAGAUUCAGCCUGAUAAAGAAGUUGUGCAUCAUCAGCACAGCAUCAUCAACGGCUUGUCUAACCCUCUUACGAUGACUUCCGUUUAUUACAGUACGUCUUGCUCAACUUCACACGACUAUGACCAUAAAUGUCUUGCAGAACCAACCGACUGUUCAGUGGCAAGAAAAACCUCCCAACUAGUCAUUGGGGAAGCAAAGAACCCU
ensembl:lncRNA